rnacentral:snRNA from 1 species
AUCACUUCCUGGCUUUUUGGCUAAGCUCAAGUGUAGUAUCUGUUCUUAUCAGUUUAAAAAAGCAAGCUGUACAGGCAACAUAGGGCCUGAGCCUUGAGCUUACCACCCUGAGAUUAAGCAUUGCAUGCUCUACUGGCUGAGCCAGUCAGGAGACCCAAC